CGUGCCUAAUACAUGCAAGUAGAACGCUGAAGAGAGGAGCUUGCUCUUCUUGGAUGAGUUGCGAACGGGUGAGUAACGCGUAGGUAACCUGCCUUGUAGCGGGGGAUAACUAUUGGAAACGAUAGCUAAUACCGCAUAACAAUGGAUGACACAUGUCAUUUAUUUGAAAGGGGCAAAUGCUCCACUACAAGAUGGACCUGCGUUGUAUUAGCUAGUAGGUGAGGUAACGGCUCACCUAGGCGACGAUACAUAGCCGACCUGAGAGGGUGAUCGGCCACACUGGGACUGAGACACGGCCCAGACUCCUACGGGAGGCAGCAGUAGGGAAUCUUCGGCAAUGGGGGCAACCCUGACCGAGCAACGCCGCGUGAGUGAAGAAGGUUUUCGGAUCGUAAAGCUCUGUUGUAAGUCAAGAACGAGUGUGAGAGUGGAAAGUUCACACUGUGACGGUAGCUUACCAGAAAGGGACGGCUAACUACGUGCCAGCAGCCGCGGUAAUACGUAGGUCCCGAGCGUUGUCCGGAUUUAUUGGGCGUAAAGCGAGCGCAGGCGGUUUGAUAAGUCUGAAGUUAAAGGCUGUGGCUCAACCAUAGUUCGCUUUGGAAACUGUCAAACUUGAGUGCAGAAGGGGAGAGUGGAAUUCCAUGUGUAGCGGUGAAAUGCGUAGAUAUAUGGAGGAACACCGGUGGCGAAAGCGGCUCUCUGGUCUGUAACUGACGCUGAGGCUCGAAAGCGUGGGGAGCGAACAGGAUUAGAUACCCUGGUAGUCCACGCCGUAAACGAUGAGUGCUAGGUGUUGGAUCCUUUCCGGGAUUCAGUGCCGCAGCUAACGCAUUAAGCACUCCGCCUGGGGAGUACGACCGCAAGGUUGAAACUCAAAGGAAUUGACGGGGGCCCGCACAAGCGGUGGAGCAUGUGGUUUAAUUCGAAGCAACGCGAAGAACCUUACCAGGUCUUGACAUCCCGAUGCUAUUUCUAGAGAUAGAAAGUUACUUCGGUACAUCGGUGACAGGUGGUGCGUGGUUGUCGUCAGCUCGUGUCGUGAGAUGUUGGGUUAAGUCCCGCAACGAGCGCAACCCCUAUUGUUAGUUGCCAUCAUUCAGUUGGGCACUCUAGCGAGACUGCCGGUAAUAAACCGGAGGAAGGUGGGGAUGACGUCAAAUCAUCAUGCCCCUUAUGACCUGGGCUACACACGUGCUACAAUGGUUGGUACAACGAGUUGCGAGUCGGUGACGGCAAGCUAAUCUCUUAAAGCCAAUCUCAGUUCGGAUUGUAGGCUGCAACUCGCCUACAUGAAGUCGGAAUCGCUAGUAAUCGCGGAUCAGCACGCCGCGGUGAAUACGUUCCCGGGCCUUGUACACACCGCCCGUCACACCACGAGAGUUUGUAACACCCGAAGUCGGUGAGGUAACCUUUUGGAGCCAGCCGCCUAAGGUGGGAUAGAUGAUUGGGGUGAAGUCA
rnacentral:rRNA from 1 species